GCAACGAGCGCAACCCUUAUCCUUUGUUGCCAGCGGUCCGGCCGGGAACUCAAAGGAGACUGCCAGUGAUAAACUGGAGGAAGGUGGGGAUGACGUCAAGUCAUCAUGGCCCUUACGACCAGGGCUACACACGUGCUACAAUGGCGCAUACAAAGAGAAGCGACCUCGCGAGAGUAAGCGGACCUCAUAAAGUGCGUCGUAGUCCGGAUUGGAGUCUGCAACUCGACUCCAUGAAGUCGGAAUCGCUAGUAAUCGUGGAUCAGAAUGCCACGGUGAAUACGUUCCCGGGCCUUGUACACACCGCCCGUCACACCAUGGGAGUGGGUUGCAAAAGAAGUAGGUAGCUUAA
rnacentral:rRNA from 1 species